rnacentral:rRNA from 1 species
GUUGAACGCUGGCGGCAUGCCUAACACAUGCAAGUCGAGCGAACAGACGCGUACCUUGCUCCUCGGACGUUAGCCGCGGGCGUGUUAGUAACACGUGUAUAACCUACCUGUAAGAAUGGGAUCACUUCCGGAAACCGUAGCUAAUACCGGAUAAUAUAUUGAACCGCAUGGUGCAAUAGUGAACGCGGGUUUUGCUGUCACUUAUAGAUUGAUCCGCGCCACAUUAGCUAGUUGGUCAGGUAACGGCUUACCAAGGCAACGAUGCGUAGCCGACCUGAGAGGGUGAUCGGCCACACUGGAACUGAGACACGGUCCAGACUCCUACGGGAGGCAGCAGUAGGGAAUCUUCGGCAAUGGGCGCAAGCCUGACGCAGCCACGCCGCGUGAGUGAUGAAGGUCUUCGGAUCGUAAAACUCUGUUAUUCGGGAAGAACAAAUGUGUAAGUAACUAUGCACGUCUUGACGGUACCUAAUCAGAAAGCCACGGCUAACUACGUG